CGAAUGCUUUAUCUCGACAGCGCCUCGAGAGAGCGCUUUUAAAUUUGGCAGAAAUGUUUCACUGUGACCCAAGGAUGAACUGACUUGAUUUUGAUAGUCAGAGUUCAAACGUCAACUCAUAAACUUAAUCCUAACUUUUGUAAAUGCUCUAUCUCAAGAACACCUCAAGAGAAGUCAUUUAAACACGGCAGAAUUCUUGUUUGUAACAUUUUUUUGAACAAACUGAAUCUGAUCAUUUAAAGGGAGGCUUUCUUCCAAGUGAUUCCACAAGUCCACGUGUAUACUGUAUGUGGCCUUCAGUGUGUUCUCUUCUAUCUUACAAACCUCCUGAGAGAAACCAUUUACAUUGGGGCGCAAAUGUUCCCUUGGAGUCAUGGAUGAAGUGUUUUUAAAGAUCAAAUGUCGUGCACAAAUCCCUGAAAACUGUUGUUGGGUGGAAGCAAACAACCUCUGGGCAUUCUUGGUUUUUGUACACUGUGCUUGAAGAUUUGCUUCUGAGCCAACUGUACCAGAGUGACACAAAGAGUUUCCAGUUAUACCCAAAUGAAAUGCUCAUUUGGCUGAAGGAGAAUCUGUAGGGAGUCAGUCCGGAUAAUCCUGCGUUUCUAGGUCCGCUGACCUCCACACAUUUAGCAGCGUUGGCACGUAGCUGGAGCUGUCAGCCCCGGCAUCUCUGGGGAGAUCUGUGUUUAAUUAGAGAAAGAGGACCUGGCCAGAUAUUCAGAGGGAGACAGAGGCAGUGGAGGGAAAAUGAAGCCUGUUAUUUUUUUUUCGUCCGUGUGAUUGAGCGCCAAGCGGACCUGCGUCGCUCUUCUGGACGAGAAGGCUGGACGUCGUCUCGAUAUGCGACACAUGUGACACGCGGACACAUUUUUUGGAGCCUUUUCGUGGCUCUGUGUGGGGAAAGAGUUGUGCAAGUGGUUGUACGUCUCAGUCAGUGGGUGUGAGAGAGGGGAGGGCCGAGGGGGAGGCGGCUGUUACCGUGAAACAGAACAGUUCAAACUCCAUGUUUGCCUUCAGAUCACUCAGCUACAGGCCUGAAAGGCUGGGCUGUUGUUUUUGCCCGACGCUGAGCGUAAUCCAUCACACUAUAUUGCGCCCAGUCAUGGAGAGUUUCGUGUCACAAGACCGAACAACUCAUCCCCACGGAUGGUUUCAGUGUAAAAAAAAACGUUCUUUCGCUCUCAGUUUGUGUGUCCGGACUUGUGCGAGGAGUGACUGGGACAAGUCAAGCUGAGGCCUGCCCUCUCCCCUCCAGCCUGGGAACCAGCGCAGCCGAUGCCUCCUCGCCUAAGUGCCUGGCUGCUCUUGCUCAGAGCAGUUCCCAUCCUACUCAUCUGUUUAUUAUUUUCCUGUGAGGGCUUGUGUUGUAAGAGGAGAAAGGAGGGGAGGAGGAUGUAUAAAGGUCAAAAUGGAAGGGAAUAUUAUCCCAUGUUUCAUUGACAGUGGCGCUUGAGACUGGGAUGAUAUUUAAAGCCAUAAAUAAACAUACAGUGUUUGUGAAAAGAACCUGUGAAACCCUCAAUCUCUGUGGCAGAUAGUGAUUGUGUUACGUUGCUAAGCUUGGAUUUGGUUUUGCCGGUGCCUGUGCUGCUCCACAGGUGUGCUUCAUGUCAAGAAGAGAUUCCAUCCCUCAUCAAGAUGCAGAAAAGAAAGCUACAAAAGACACGAGAAACCCGGACAUGUAAAGUCAGAAAUUUACUCUACAUUUAUUUCAUUGUUUAUUGUGUUGGUUAAAAUGGCAACUUUUUGUGAAUUCUGUCUCCAUGAGAUGCUAUUUAUGUUUCCUGUAUAAAUUGCUUCUGGGCUUCUCAUUGACGAGGGUCAGUUGUGUAAGAAGAUGCUGAAGAUCCUCUACAAUUGAGCUGUUCUCUCUUGUUCAAGUACAAUUUAAUAAAACUAAACCUUUAAUGCA